rnacentral:rRNA from 1 species
AGAGUUUGAUCCUGGCUCAGGAUGAACGCUAGCGAUAGGCUUAACACAUGCAAGUCGAGGGGCAGCAUGGUCUUAGCUUGCUAAGACUGAUGGCGACCGGCGCACGGGUGCGUAACGCGUAUGCAACUUGCCUCACAGAGGGGGAUAACCCGUCGAAAGACGGACUAAUACCGCGUACACUCCACCUUGGGCAUCCAAGGUAGAGGAAAUGAAAUUCGCUGUGAGAUAGGCAUGCGUCCCAUUAGCUAGUUGGUGAGGUAACGGCUCACCAAGGCAACGAUGGGUAGGGGAACUGAGAGGUUGAACCCCCACACUGGUACUGAGACACGGACCAGACUCCUACGGGAGGCAGCAGUGAGGAAUAUUGGUCAAUGGGCGAGAGCCUGAACCAGCCAAGUCGCGUGAAGGAUGACUGUCUUAUGGAUUGUAAACUUCUUUUAUACGGGAAUAACAAGAGCCACGUGUGGCUCCCUGCAUGUACCGUAUGAAUAAGCAUCGGCUAACUCCGUGCCAGCAGCCGCGGUAAUACGGAGGAUGCGAGCGUUAUCCGGAUUUAUUGGGUUUAAAGGGUGCGUAGGCGGCCUGUUAAGUCAGCGGUGAAAUCUAGGAGCUUAACUCCUAAAUUGCCAUUGAUACUGGCGGGCUUGAGUGUAGAUGAGGUAGGCGGAAUGCGUGGUGUAGCGGUGGAAUGCAUAGAUAUCACGCAGAACUCCGAUUGCGAAGGCAGCUUACUAAGGUACAACUGACGCUGAAGCACGAAAGCGUGGGUAUCAAACAGGAUUAGAUACCCUGGUAGUCCACGCAGUAAACGAUGAUAACUGGGCGUAUGCGAUAUACAGUAUGCUCCUAAGCGAAAGCGUUAAGUUAUCCACCUGGGGAGUACGCCGGCAACGGUGAAACUCAAAGGAAUUGACGGGGGCCCG